UUUUUUUUUAAUUACAGUUGUACGGGCUUAAUGGAUUAACUGCAGCGACUUAAUCAUAAUGGAUAAUGAGUUUUUUAAAUUCGUAUUAAAAAAAAUCUAAAAAAUAUAAUUUUAUUCUAAGACUUAAAUCCUAUAAUUUAUUGAAUUUAGCAGAUCGACUCAUAUAUAUAAUAAUCUAUUUUAUCGGCUCUAAGUUCAGUCGUCAAUUAUCAGAUAUUUUUUAGUAUAAAAUUUGAGUUUGAACAAAAUUUGAGAUAGCCUAAAAUACAAA
rnacentral:lncRNA from 1 species